rnacentral:siRNA from 1 species
CUGGUUAGUGGCUACAUUCACCAA